GACGAACGCUGGCGGCGUGCUUAACACAUGCAAGUCGAACGGAAAGGCCCUGCUUUUGUGGGGUGCUCGAGUGGCGAACGGGUGAGUAACACGUGAGUAACCUGCCCUUGACUGUGGGAUAACUUCAGGAAACUGGGGCUAAUACCGGAUAGGAGCUCCUGCUGCACGGUGGGGGGUGGAAAGUUUCGGCGGGUGGGGAUGGACUCGCGGCUUAUCAGCUUGUUGGUGGGGGAGUGGCUUACCACGGCUUUGACGGGUAGCCGGCCUGAGAGGGUGACCGCCCACAUUGGUCCUGCGAUACGGCCCAGACUCCUACGGGGCGCAGCAGUGGGGAAUAUUGCACAGUGGGCGGAAGCCUGAUGCAGCAACGCCGCGUUCGUGAUGAAGGCCUUCGGGUUGUAAACCGCUUUCGCCUGUGACGAAGCGUGAGUGACGGUACUGGGUAAAGAAGCACCGGCUAACUACGUG
rnacentral:rRNA from 1 species